rnacentral:rRNA from 1 species
GCGAACUGCGGGCCAGAAGUCGCGGUAAUACGAAUGGUGGAAGCGUUACUCGGAAGUAUGAGGCGUAAAGGGCAGGUAGGGGGCUUGAUAAGGCUGUUGUGAAAGCUCCCGGCGUAACUGGGAGAGGUCAACAGAUACUAUUAGGCGUGAGUAUGGGAGAGGGUACUGGAAUUCCCGGAGUAGCGGUGAAAUGCGCAGAUAUCGGGAGGAACACCAAUGGCGAAAGCAGGUACCUGGACCAUUACUGACACUCAGCUGCGAAAGCUAGGGGAGCAAACAGGAUUAGAUACCCGUGUAGUC